GGAAGCCCUGAGUUGAGAAGGUCAAGUCCACAGAAUUUUCACCGCAGCCCUGAGGAGAGACUCCCAGGCAGGUUAGCAGGAAAAGCCGCUCAGCCCCUCUCCUCCGGGGCUGGAGGGAAGCAGGGGACAGUGGACAGUGUCUGCGUGCAGGGCAGGGGCUGAGCUGUGCCUUCCACAGGACAGGGCUUGGACCCCAGUCUGUUUGUGGCUGGCAUGGCCCCUCCCGAUUGGGGUGCUGUGUCCCCACGUCCCUCCAGCGAGAAGACUCGGAUGGACUCGUUCAACAGCAGGCCUCACACUGCCCACUUCUACCAGUUUUCCUGAUUUUGCUGUCUCGUGGGAAGUCCUGGGCACCUGAGGGCUCAGUGCGGCAGAUAAGAAUUUCAGCCAUGGUAUCAAUGGAUCUGCCAUGUUUGAAUCCUGGCUGUGAGUCCUUGAUCAAUUUACGGCAUCUCUCGAGGCCCCAGUUUUCUCACCUAUAAAAUGGAGAGAUAAAUAGUAUGGAUUGUGUUGGAUUAUUUUGAGGAUUAAACGCAAUGAAGCAGGUCAAGUCCUAACUCAGUGCCUGGCACAGAGUAAAUGUGCAAUGAGUGCCAUCGUCGUCAUCAUCAUCAUCAUCAUCAUUAUUGUUAUUGCUGUUAUUUACCACCUGCCCUCUGUUCCUUCGGGGAAAGCAAGCCUCCCACCUGUGUCUGAGUAGGCAGCUUAGCACGGCCUGUGCAGGUGGCCAGGGCACCCUGUGUGCACGCCCGAGGAGGGGACUCCAACCAGAAUCCUCCAGCUUCCGCGCACAGGGGCUCCAGCACGCACUGUGCCAGGACCCCAGUGAAUCGCAGCGUACACACUCGUGGGCCCUUGUGAGGAUAAAGGAGCUCCCAGAUGCACAGCACUUGGCCCAGUGCCGGCCCACAGCCUCAGUGAGUUGCGGCCAACAGUACUGCUGUCAUUGCCGCUAGGAUCAGCUGCAUCUAAGGCUGUACUGCUGCGUGGUGAGGAGCAGGAGUCAGACGGCCUGGGCAUGGACUGGCUGUGGACUUCAGGCAAGUUGCUUAACCAUCCUGACCCUCAAGUUUUCUCCUCUGUAUGACAGGACAGUGCCACCCCCUUCAUAGUGUCCUUAGGGGGGUUAAAGGACCACAGCACAGU
rnacentral:lncRNA from 1 species